rnacentral:rRNA from 1 species
UACAGAGGUCUCAAGCGUUGUUCGGAUUCAUUGGGCGUAAAGGGUGCGUAGGCGGCGCGGUAAGUCGGGUGUGAAAUCUCGGAGCUUAACUCCGAAACUGCAUUCGAUACUGCCGUGCUUGAGGACUGGAGAGGAGACUGGAAUUUACGGUGUAGCGGUGAAAUGCGUAGAUAUCGAGAGGAACACCAGUGGCGAAGGCGAGUCUCUGGACGACACCUGACACUGAGGCACGAAAGCUAGGGGAGCAAACAGG